AGAGUUUGAUCAUGGCUCAGGACGAACGCUGGCGGCGUGCUUAACACAUGCAAGUCGAGCGAUGAAACACCUUCGGGUGUGAAUUAGCGGCGAACGGGUGAGGAACACGUGAAGAAUCUGCCUUCAACUCUGGGAUAACUCCGGGAAACCGGGGCUAAUACCGGAUAUGAGCCUCGAUCGCAUGAUUGGGGCUGGAAAGUUUUUCGGUUGAAGAUGACUUCGCGGCCUAUCAGCUUGUUGGUGAGGUAAUGGCUCACCAAGGCGACGACGGGUAGCCGGCCUGAGAGGGCGACCGGCCACACUGGGACUGAGACACGGCCCAGACUCCUACGGGAGGCAGCAGUGGGGAAUAUUGGGCAAUGGAGGAAACUCUGACCCAGCGACGCCGCGUGAGGGAUGAAGGCCUUCGGGUUGUAAACCUCUUUCAGUAGGGAAGAAGCGAAAGUGACGGUACCUACAGAAGAAGCACCGGCUAACUAUGUGCCAGCAGCCGCGGUAAUACAUAGGGUGCAAGCGUUGUCCGGAAUUAUUGGGCGUAAAGAGCUCGUAGGUGGUUCGAUACGUCGGAUGUGAAAAUCAGGGGCUCAACCCCUGACCUGCAUCCGAUACGGUCGAGCUAGAGUUUGGUAGGGGAGACUGGAAUUCCUGGUG
rnacentral:rRNA from 1 species